GUUAGCGGCGGACGGGUGAGUAACACGUGGGUAACCUGCCCAUAAGACUGGGAUAACUCCGGGAAACCGGGGCUAAUACCGGAUAACAUUUUGAACCGCAUGGUUCGAAAUUGAAAGGCGGCUUCGGCUGUCACUUAUGGAUGGACCCGCGUCGCAUUAGCUAGUUGGUGAGGUAACGGCUCACCAAGGCAACGAUGCGUAGCCGACCUGAGAGGGUGAUCGGCCACACUGGGACUGAGACACGGC
rnacentral:rRNA from 1 species